rnacentral:misc_RNA from 1 species
GACGGGUAGCACCAUCUGCUUGUUUUCCCCCCUAAACAUCUCUAUUUUUUAUUUUUUGAUAAUAUUUUCUGUCUAUGCUUGUUUGGACUUCCUAGGAGAAACAUAUUAUACAGUAAUAAAUUGGAUGCUUAAGUUUUCAGAAAUUGCUUCUAGUGCCCAAGAUUAGAAAACAUCACCACUAUAUGGAUUUGCGAACACUUGCGGUCCUUAUGGUUUUUAUUUAAGUUGUAGUCUUGCAGAUAUCUCUUCUCGCAUUGACAUAUAUAUGCUGCUUA